AGAUCAUUAUGAGGGAAGUUCCUCAAUAAACUUUUGUAUCUCUCCCAUGCCUCAUAAAGGGACUCACCUGGUUGUUGCUCAAAGUUUGCAAUGGCUUUCUUCAAUUU